rnacentral:lncRNA from 1 species
CUGCUGUUUGAUUUCUAUUAUCUCACUGGAGAUUUAUGAAUUGGAUCGCAUUUGCGCAUAUAGUUAUAUGCAUUAGAUUGCAUUAGACUUUCUCAGUUUGAUCAAGGAUACCCAGUGAUCUGCUAGGUGUUUGUGAUGCUGGAAACAACACUUACAAGAUCUGUAUAUGUAUAAAUUAUACUACCUCCGUUCCAUUUAGUUGACGCUCAAACGGAUGUAUCUAGACGUAUUUCAGUGCUAGAUACAUCCGUUCGAGCGUCAUCUAAUUCCGAAGGGAGGG